UUCGGGUCCCAACAGAUACGCUCUUACUCAAACCUCUCUGAGAGCAGAAUAGGUCGGUCGAUGAUGCCGCGAACGCCGGGGCGUUCGCUUCUCACCCCAAUCGUCUAGGACGAUCUUUACUUUCAUUGUGCCCACGGGUUUCGAUCACCCGGAGACUCGCGCACAUGUUAGACUCCUUGGUCCGUGUUUCAAGACGGGUCGGAUGGAGCCGUAUGGCCGUC
rnacentral:lncRNA from 1 species